rnacentral:rRNA from 1 species
AGAGUAUCAAUUGGAGGGCAAGUCUGGUGCCAGCAGCCGCGGUAAUUCCAGCUCCAAUAGCGUAUAUUAAAAUUGUUGCAGUUAAAAAGCUCGUAGUUGAAUUUCUGCUGCAUUGCUUGUGUCCCUCUGGGGUCUGUGCAUGUGGCUUUUUUCGGACGGAGUUUCUUUGUCUGAAUGUUUACUUUGAGAAAAUUAGAGUGCUCAAAGCAGGCUUUCGCCUUGAAUAGUUUAGCAUGGAAUAAUAAAGUAGGACUUUGGUUCUAUUUUGUUGGUUUUAGGUACCAAAGUAAUGGUUAAUAGGAACAGUUGGGGGCAUUCGUAUUUAACUGUCAGAGGUGAAAUUCUUAGAUUUGUUAAAGACGAACUACUGCGAAAGCAUUUGCCAAGGAUGUUUUCAUUAAUCAAGAACGAAAGUUAGGGGAUCGAAGACGAUCAGAUACCGUCGUAGUCCUAACCAUAAACUA